UGCCUAGCAGCGACCUACUCUUGCAGGGGCGCUGGCCCCAACUACCAUCGGCGCUGGAGGGCUUAACUUCCGUGUUCGGGAUGGGAACGGGUGUUUCCCCUCCGCUAUCACCACUA
rnacentral:rRNA from 1 species